AGGGUCAUUAAUGAGAGAGUGGGCUUCGCGCUUCCCGGGGGCUUCGGCCCCCCACCUCCUUCACCCAUUGUGUACCUACCUUUGUUGCUUCGGCGGGCCAUGGGGUUCGCCUCGCGCCCGGCCUCCCGGGCUGGCGAGCGCCCGUCAGAGGCCCCUCAAAAUUCUGUUUUAUAGUGAUGUCCGAGUUCAAACACAAAUAGUAAAAACUUUCAACAACGGAUCUCUUGGUUCCAGCAUCGAUGAAGAACGCAGCGAAAUGCGAUAAGUAAUGUGAAUUGCAGAAUUCAGUGAAUCAUCGAAUCUUUGAACGCACAUUGCGCCCCUCGGUAUUCCGGGGGGCAUGCCUGUUCGAGCGUCAUUACACCCCUCAAGCAUAGCUUGGUGUUGGGCCUCGCCCCCCGGGCGUGCCCGAAAAGCAGUGGCGGUCCCGAGUGACUUUAAGCGCAGUAAAUUUUCAUCCCGCUUUGAAAGAUCGCUUCGCGGCCUGCCAGAACCCCAAUCUUUCUAUAAUGACCUCGAUCAGC
rnacentral:rRNA from 1 species